rnacentral:rRNA from 1 species
GACAGAGGGUGCAAACGUUGUUCGGAAUUACUGGGCGUAAAGCGCGUGUAGGCGGUCUCGCAAGUCGGAUGUGAAAGCCCAGGGCUCAACCCUGGAAGUGCACUCGAUACUGCGAGGCUAGAGUCCCGGAGAGGAUGGUGGAACUCUCGGUGUAGAGGUGAAAUUCGUAGAUAUCGAGAAGAACACCGGUGGCGAGGGCGGCCAUCUGGACGGUGACUGACGCUGAGACGCGAAAGCGUGGGGAGCAAACAGG